GUGCCAGCACGUCCCCAUGAUGCGCUCUCUCUCUCUGCUCGGUGCCUGUUUACAAUUGCUCCCCACAGUCAACACUAAUGUGCGUCGUUAAAUGCUAUUCAGCUACCAGGGGCGCAAUGGUUUCCUUUAAACGUGUACCACAGAAAUUCUGGGCAUACUCAGAAACACACACGGCGUGCGAAGUUCACUUCUCUCAAUGAGACAAAGGCCAAGACACCCUGUGACCCAUGAGGGAGAAAUUAGAUCAUUCAGACGGUCCGUUAAUGUUCCUCAGAAAGACCCACUUCUUGGUCACAUGAAGCGUGACUGUUCACUGGAUGACAACAUAAGUAUGUCAGAGGAGAAAGUUCCUCUGUUGAAUCCUCAGGGACAACUUUCCGCAAUCCUGAGUUUACUUCUGUGCAAUUGCUUGUCUAGUCUUGUUUUCGCACGGGCUUUGUUUUGCAACCAUACCAGUGACAGCUUUGGAUUUUUUAUCAGCGUUUUUUUUUUUUUUUUUUUUUAAAUACCAGGGGACACUUUCUUUGCGGUCGUUGCACUUGUUUCAUCAGAAAUGGGGAUUGCAUUGGACCAGAGAACGGCCGUGUUGAGCAAUGCAUUGCUCAGUGUUUCACACAAAUAGGAGCUGUGAGUGAAAGCUUCUUCCGUAGGUUAAGUUUACAGCUCCGUGAGAAGUCUCCACAAGAGUGUCGAUUACAAAGCUUCCAUAGGCGUAUUUGGGCACAUGCGUUGAACUCACUGUCCUAUCGAACUGGCUCGUCUGCCAAGGGCAAAGCUGUCUCCUGUGUUCUAAAGGUAAGUUUAUGGUCGGCAGCAUUUCUUAUCAACAUAGGAGUAUCCAUUUUGUCUUUCUGAACGGUUAAAUACGACCUGUAUAGGGAAAGUAUAUUUCUGGCAGCCUAGAAACUAGGCUUUGAGGCUAAGGCAGGACAAGUUUAUAUAUAUAUAUAUAUAUAGCACAUUUCAUACAGAGUCAAUACAAUAUAAUUAAAAGAAAGUACAAAGUACAUUAAAUAUGACACAAAUAUGUGAUUAAAAGACAGUGGUAUAAUUAAAAGAUAAAUAAUAUAAUUAAAAGAAAGUGCAAAUUAGCUUACAUAAACAGUACAAUGAAUGCAUACUGGAAAUAGCCCUGACUCAAGCACAAAUCAGCUCAAGAUGUCACUUCCCUGUCGGGAGUGACUAGAGGUUCACUUCCAGAAUUAAAGUGCAGUAAGAAAAAAGUGCAAGUUUUUGAGAUUUUGAAAUUGCCACAUUUUGGGCACAUCAGAAAGAUUUUAGAACUAGAGUAAUGUGUUCUGGAUAAAACCGUAGCAGCAGCAUUCUGAAUGAGCUGCGGCUGUUAAGUGGUCUUUUUGGGAAGUCCAGUUAAGAGACCAUUACAAUAGUCCACCGACUGGAGAUAAAAGCAUGGAUGAGGUUCUUUUGGUCUUUUUGGGACACCAAAUUCUUGAUUCUGGCUAUAUUUUUAAGACAAUAGAAGGCUGUUUGUGAUUGCUUUGAUA
rnacentral:lncRNA from 1 species